rnacentral:lncRNA from 1 species
AAAAGCACCACAAUUAUAUAUUCACAAAAGCAUCACAAUUAUAAUAUCAUUCACAACUAGAUCAUUUACAGAUAGCUAGCUAGAUCAUUCACAAAAGCUCCAGAGAUGAUCAGUCACAAGCACCACAGCGACAUCACUCCAGCUUGAAGCAGUUCAAAAGCCCACAACUACAUCACUAAUGUUUCAUAUCACUCUAGCUAUUGUUCAAAAGCCCACAACUACAUCACUCUAGCUGCUCCAGAGCUGAUCAGUCACAAAAGCAAGACAUGUGAAAUUUAUGUAGAAGACUUCGCAAACUGUCCAUCUUCAACUGGUACUGCUAUCGUUGCUUCCAUAUCAUCCUAGCAUCAAGAUUAAAACUUAGUCUAGCAUAACACAAGUCGAAAAUGAAGGGAAAAAGGUAAAUAGGUACUUACAAUAGCUUUCUAAACAGUUUCACUAAAUCUUUUUCUUGAUGUAAUGCAUCUCCUUCAAAAAAACAAUUGCACUUGGUUAUAUUUUUCUUGUCGCUGAAAAGAUAUCAAAUAUAUUUAGUGAGCAUGUAGAUCAAAACAUAAGCUAUAGGUUGGUUUAGAAAUAAUUGGGAAAACUUAUAAGACAUAUAAAAAAACUCAAUAAAUAUCAUAUAAUAUUUUAGAGAUGCUAACUAAAGAUCACCAUUUUAGUUUUAAACUCAAUAAAUAUCAUAUAAUAUUUUAGAGAUGCUUAUGAAGUAAAUGCUGAUGCCAUAUACACUAACUUAUGCAGACACUUGAAAAAGUGCAAGUACACAUUAUUACCUGAGUUUUUUAUUUCAAAACAUCUUGCCCCACCACAAGCGACCUAACUCGUUAGUCCAUUAUUAGCCCAUCCAUGUCAAC